GUUUUUUGUAUCGAGUGAUUUGUUGGAUGAUUUGCACUUCAGGGCCACCGUAGUUUUCAGCGCACGUCUCUGUUAACAAUGAGCCCUACCGUCAGACAUGAGGCACAGCGCUCCCGAGCCUCACCUGGAGUUUCCGCUCAGUUUGUGAUCGCACAACACUCAAAUUUGGCGAUUUUAAUCUCAGAAACUGUGGAGAGCGUGUUGAUUUGACUGAAAAUGCAUAUUUAACACAGAUCAGUGGGAAAAAAUAUUUACUUAAUUUACCUUUUUCUAUUUUAUCAGAAUUAUGACAGGUGACCGCACGUCACUGCAUGGUAAAGAACAAAAGGCUCUGAUGUCAUUCUGCUGACCAGACUGUGGUUCAUGAAGUCAAACAGCACUGGGGUCCUUGAAGCGGGGUUGAAGAGCUCCCCUCCCAUCUUUUGGAAGGCAGCACAGAGGAAUUGAUGGAGUGAGGCGUGAUGGACUAACUAUCUGCUGAGGAGGAGAUUGCAGUUCAAGAUCAAAGGGCAGGUCAAGCCCCACCCCUCAAAAAAGGGCUGAUAUGAAGGAAACCCUCCUUUCAACUUUGUACCAAUACAUUACUUGUAAUUGAAAUAAGAGAUUUUUUUUCUGCACCACACUAAUGAACGUUUUUUCAACCUUCAAUCUAUUGUAUUUUUUUUUUUACUUCCAUUCAAGUUUCUACAAAACCGCUCCCGAAAUAUUUCAGUGCUCAAACCUGUGCUGAAGGCACUUCUCUUUUUUACUAAAAUGGUUGGUCUUUGAUUUGUAUGUCCAACAUCUUUAAAUGAAACACUGACUUAUUAAACUCAUUUAACUAAUGUGCUACGCAUAUCCAAAUCCUUUGUCAGUGCCGGCUGCAUCAAAAUUGUAGCAGGACAAGAGUAAAAUGACAAGUUAUCUUAAAUUAAGGGUAAAUGACAUGAGAAAAUAAGAAUAUUAGAAGUGUGGAGUGAUAUGUCUGUUUAUUAGUAUGUUAGCUGCAGGAUGGGUGCAGUCCUUCACACGUUACUUUAUUCAGUCAGGAUGACAAGUAGGGAAGUUGGUAGCGGAUGAUCUUCUCUGAUAUCUUCAGCAUUGAAGCUUCUGCUGCUCUUCUUCAGUUUGAUAAGAGAACCAGACUGUGAUGCAGUUGGACUGGUGGAGCGGUUGGUUGCCAGCAGUUCUAUUAAUAAUAAUUUUUACAUUUAUCUCAGUCUAUUGUUAUUACCCAUUAACAUUUCAUGGAAGCUCGAUGAGAUGACAUCUUCAAUCUGAGUGAACUCUAGUUUGAUUAGAAACUGUCAUUUGUGAACCGUCAGCAGAUCUGGUCAAUUCUCAAGAAAAAACACACUAAUCAUUUCAUCUUUUAGAUCCAUUAAAAAAACCAGCAGCUCUCAAGUGCUUCAGGCGUCCAGCCAUCAACCGUUUCAGGCAUCCUUCCUCCCACCACCUCACCAACCAAUCUCUUUAGCACUUCAGCCUCAAAUGCCAACAUUUUACUAUCAUGGUAGAUUAUUAUUUUUCUGUACAGGUAGCAAAAACUAUAUGUUUUCAGAUAUUCCUAGGCAUCACUACUUUUAUUUAAGAAAGAACUGUUAACAUAAAGAAUUUUUUUAUCCGCCACAAAUGUUUCUCCAAAGAAGAAAUGUGAAAAUACAAAGAAUUUCAUCUGUUGGUCAUUGUUACAGUUUUUCUUCAAAUCUUUAAUAAGAAAUAAUAAAAAAAAAAAAAAA